rnacentral:rRNA from 1 species
CAACCUGGCGGCGUGCCUAUAAUGCAAGUCGAGCGGAACCUUUGGAGCUUGCUCCAUUGGUUUAGCGGCGGACGGGUGAGUAACACGUGGGCAACCUGCCCUGCAGAUCGGGAUAACUCCGGGAAACCGGUGCUAAUACCGAAUAGUUUGCGGCCUCUCCUGAGGCUGCACGGAAAGACGGUUUCGGCUGUCACUGCAGGAUGGGCCCGCGGCGCAUUAGCUAGUUGGUGGGGUAACGGCCCACCAAGGCCACGAUGCGUAGCCGACCUGAGAGGGUGAUCGGCCACACUGGGACUGAGGCACGGCCCAGACUCCUACGGGAGGCAGCAGUAGGGAAUCUUCCGCAAUGGACGCAAGUCUGACGGAGCAACGCCGCGUGAGUGACGAAGGUUUUCGGAUCGUAAAACUCUGUUGUGAGGGAAGAACACGUACCAGGUAACUACUGGUACCUUGACGGUACCUCACCAGAAAGCCACGGCUAACUACGUGCCAGCAGCCGCGGUAAU